CCUACCGGAGGCAGCAGUGSGGAAUAUUACACAAUGGAAGGAAGCCUGACGCAGCGACGCCGCGUGGGGGAUGACGGCCUUCGGGUUGUAAACCUCUUUCMCCGGGACGAAGAGAGAYGACCCGACCGGAUAACCCGGCCCAGUUCACUCCGUGCCAGCAGCCGCGGUAAU
rnacentral:rRNA from 1 species